GUUCCUAGUUGUAACAAGUUUGGAACGAGCUGUUCUGUUAACAACUUGUAACAAGCUUGAUGGGAUUAUCAGACUUGUUACAAGGCUGUUCUAACAAGUCUGAUACAGUCAUGAUAUAACAAAAAUGUUACAAGGUUCUAACAAGUCUGAUACAGUCAUGAUAUAACAAGAAUGUUACAAGGUUGACCACACAAGGUUGUAGCAAUAUUGUUAUAUAUCAUGACUGUAUUGACUUGUUAGAAAAACCUUGCAACAAGUCUGAUAAUAUCAACAAGGUUGUUACAAGUUGUUAAUUAACAGCUAGCUUGUUCCAAACUUGUUGACAACUUGGGAC